UACGAAGGGGGCUAGCGUUGCUCGGAAUCACUGGGCGUAAAGCGCACGUAGGCGGAUUGCUAAGUCAGGGGUGAAAUCCUGGAGCUCAACUCCAGAACUGCCUUUGAUACUGGCGACCUUGAGUCCGGGAGAGGUGAGUGGAACUGCGAGUGUAGAGGUGAAAAUUCGUAGAUAUUCGCAAGAACACCAGUGGCGAAGGCGACACGCUGGGCCGUACCUGACGCUAAAGCGCGACAGCAUGGGGAGCAAACGGG
rnacentral:rRNA from 1 species